rnacentral:lncRNA from 1 species
AGAGCCACAGGCUUCCCUCAAAACAUCUCACAAGUCAGAUGCAGGCAUGAGGACAGAUGGAGAAACAUCACAGAGCCGUCAUUUCUGGAAAUUGACUCAACACGUAAGAGGAGCACUGGAUGAAUGCUUAGAGCAGAUAUCUAAAACCCAGGUCUAAUGCCAAGGAGGCGGUUGUCCCCCUGCUGUCUGGCAGAGGAUCACACUCAGAAACAGAUUGGUUUAUGCUAUGCUCAUCUGCUGUCCCUGUGUCUUCACAGAGGGGAUCUAAGCUGACAGAGCUGGGAUUCAGAGCUAUGCCUUCCAGCUCCCUAACACAGGCUUGAGAGACCUGCAUGCUGAGACGGGGUUCCCCAACAUGUUGGGUAAGUAAAAUCCUCAUGCGUUUUGCAACGAUGGCGGUCUCUGUGCUCUUUGUGGGUGAGGAUCUUUUAGCGACCUACAACAGUCCUGAGGAUGGUGUGGCAGGAGCACUGUAAGCAUCCUUGAAUCUGGAUUUCAAAAGUAAAGACAGAGGCAGGAAAAAGAAGUUGAAAAGAAGCCUAGUGGUUGGCCCAAGGAUGAAAUACAGCGACAGCUAGGGGCUGUGACCUCACACAAGAGGAUAAGCCCGGGAUGGAGGUUGGUGUGUGCCAGGAGACUCUGUGAGGUGGUACAUUUUUCUGGAUUCAAAAACAAGAUGUGUUUUUAAAAACCAAAUGAAAUCACCUAAAGCUCAAAGAGUAUCAGCCUCGGAGGGAAGGACAUUAAAGCCUGAACGCAGAUGGCUCCACUCACAAGGCAGUGUCUUUAUCCCUUACCUUGUUCCCCCUACAGACUUACACCUGCCCCCAGGAGAAGAAAAGAGACAACACAGUGAGGAAGCUUUCUGUCUAUAUGCCUGGUUUAUAAACAAUCACUGUCUGAGAAAUCCUUGCACGCUAACUAUUUACACCUAAUAAAAUAUGGUUAUAUUUGUGUGAG